rnacentral:lncRNA from 1 species
GUGCCUUUGCACAUGCUCCUGCUCUGACCCUGUCCUCACACUGCUCAGUAGUUGGACAGCUUGUCCUGUCUCCCCCUGGUGGAUUGGGUCACCCCACAUUUGGAACGGUUGCAUGGCCAUGAACUUGACCUCCAUUCAGAAACCUCUCCUGUGCUUGGUGUAGGUGUUCGCCUUCCCAGCCUGGUGGUGGGUGCUUGGUCUUGGGUGUCUUGGACCCCACUCUGUCUGGGACAAAACCUGUACAGAGUGGUGGGUUCAUCUGUCAGAAGCUGGUUGAAUGAGACCAUGAAUGGACGCACAUAAGAAGGAUUGUGAGGCCAUUCUGGGGCAGAUUCUAUUCCUGGCAGAGAACUGGGGUCCUUAGAGCUGGGAAAUAGCACCUCCUCAUUACUGAGGCCUGUCCUCUUCUCCAGCCAACUCCACUUUGCCUUCCGCCUGCGACUCAUUAAGAGAUAUGUAACCUUAAUCCUUGAAAUUGCCUGGGACGGAGCGUGUUUUCACUCAAGGACAUGAACAUGGAGAUUUUAUUCCUCCUUAAAUAAAUCUCACUCCCCCAGGACGUUUGGACAGGAUGUGGGCAAUUGGACCAGGGCUUGAAACUGAACGUCUUGCAAAAGGCCUGUUUGAAAAUUUGAAACCCCGUGGCCACUGGCCAGAGCCGGGUCUGGUUUGUGGGGGUCGCUGGGGCCUCCUCGCAAAGCAGGGAAGUGAAGAUUGAAAACAAACCUUCAGCUGUCACUGAGCAGGCCCAUGGUCUGCAAACAGAAUUCCGCGGUUCGGUUUUGCUUCUCGAACGAAACUGGAGUGAGCUUGCUCAGCCCCAUCAGCUCUUCCUCCAAGCUUUUGGCGGAGGCCUCAAACCCUCCUGGAGCCAGAGGGGAGUCUGAGUUGGUCCUGGAAUGGAGAGGCCGAGAAUGUGGUGCUAGCUGGGACCGGGAUGCUCAGCGGCAGGCCCAGCUUAGGGUUCGACCUUCCCGUGGAGGGUGGGCGGUUCCAGGUGGGGCCGGGCACGGGAGCCUGGGCAUCCUGACGCUGAUGGAAAGGGGAAGAGUGGUCUGUGUCUUCAAAGUCACCAUGUUCCGGGCUCCUGAUCUGUAAGAAGUCAUCCAUCCACAGGGAGCCAUGGAGGAGUGGUUUCUUGAGCAUGAGUUAUCCCGGGGACCACCACCUUUGAUGGGGGCACCACUUGCUUCACUGGGUGAGUUCUGCUUUUUCCUGGUUGUACCUUAAAAGGCAUAUAUGCCAUGAUGAAGAGCCACACAUGGUCUAGGUAAUAUGAAGACUAUAGGUGAUCCAACAUGGACCCGGUGCAUGUGUAAAGGCCUCGGAGGGGCCGGAAUGCACGCACUGCCCAUCCAGGGCAUUGUCAGGCAGAGGCUGGGCUGUUUCUGGCAGCUGCCUCUCUGCGUGGAGGGCAGAUUGGCCACAUAAGCCACUUAGAAGUUGCCCAUGGCUGCACUAGAGAGUGUGCAGGCAAGGAGUGAGGCCAGUAGGGGUCGACCCCAGACAGCUGUCCCUGGUCCCUGGUCCCUGGUCCCAUCCAAGUGGUAGGGACCGUGUUCACUUCACAGCUGACUGGCCACCAGACUCCUUUUUGGCAGCUUGAGUUGGGACUCAGCUUAACCUUCAUGCUCCUGGCAGCAAAUGAGUCUUCUUUUAAAAAUUAUGCAUAAAAUUGCAUUUUGUUAACUCAUGACUAUAAUGGAAAAUGCAAUAAACAAUGGAGCCAUGUGAGUUUUUCCCA